GGGCACCACACCAGUGCCGCCAUCCCCACCCCAUUGCCCACCUGCCCAGCCCCAAGGCCUCUCAGCCACUUGCCCUCCUGCUUGCCUUGCCCUCCGGCCUACAAUCGGAGCAGCCUGCAAACUGCAACAAAGAUCCUUCUCUCCCCAACUCUCAGCUGAUUGGCAGGUGGGUGGGGCUUCCAGAGAGGCCUCCAUGCAGGCCUCCCUGAACCCUGAACCCAAGUAGACCAGUAGGCCCCAAGCAAGCAGGGCAGGAGGCAGGCAGAGUUCUCUGCAGACCCUCUGCCCAGGCCAGCAAGCCCAGCCUUUGCCAGAUAUAUAAAGUUAAGGAGGAAGAAGAAGAAGAAGAAGAAGAAAGCCCAGAAAACCAUAACAUGAAUCAAGAAAUCUUAAUCACUGAUUGGCUGUCCUGUGCAUACUGGACAGAAAAACAGAGGGGAAAGGGAAGUCCAGGAGGGAUUUCCUCUAUAUUGAAGGGACCUACCCCAAUGACUUCAGUUUGAAAACUGUGGUUUUAAAAAAUCCAUGCCUUCACUCAAAAACUUGUAUGAACAAAGGACUUGUCAGGAUCGGGGCCACAUGGGAGCAGAUCAAAACUUAAUCUGCAUCAACAGCUUUAAUGCCAGCAUCAUUGAAAUGAAUUCAUAUGAAGAUCAGAUCCUGAAACUUGUUCUGUCUUUACAUUUCAGCUAGACGUUGAGAACUUAAGUAAAACAGUUAUUAAUCAAUAUUCCUGCAAAAAAUAAAUAUGGGUAACACCC